AGCGAACGCUGGCGGCAGGCCUAACACAUGCAAGUCGAACGAACCCUUCGGGGUUAGUGGCGGACGGGUGAGUAACACGUGGGAACGUGCCUUUAGGUUCGGAAUAACUCAGGGGAACUUGUGCUAAUACCGAAUGUGCCCUUCGGGGGAAAGAUUUAUCGCCUUUAGAGCGGCCCGCGUCUGAUUAGCUAGUUGGUGAGGUAAUGGCUCACCAAGGCUACGAUCAGUAGCUGGUCUGAGAGGAUGACCAGCCACAUUGGGACUGAGACACGGCCCAAACUCCUACGGGAGGCAGCAGUGGGGAAGCUUGCGCAAUGGGCGAAAGCCUGACGCAGCCAUGCCGCGUGGAUGAUGAAGGUCUUAGGAUUGUAAAAUCCUUUCACCGGUGAAGAUAAUGACUGUAGCCGGAGAAGAAGCCCCGGCUAACUUCGUGCCAGCAGCCGCCGUAACAC
rnacentral:rRNA from 1 species